rnacentral:rRNA from 1 species
CCUGGUUGAUCCUGCCAGUAGUCAUAUGCUUGUCUAAAAGACUAAGCCAUGCAUGUCUAAGUAUAAACAAUUCUAUAUCGUGAAACUGCGGACGGCUCACUAAACCAGUUAUAGUUUACUUGAUCGUACAUUCUUACUUGGAUAACCGUAGGAAACUAGAGCUAAUACAUGCAAAAGUCCCUGUGCCUGGCACGGGGGGAAUUUAUUAGAUUAAAAGCCAAUGCGGGAGCAAUCCCGGAUAACUUUGGUGAUUCAUAGUAACUAGUCGAAUCGCAGAGGUUUUACGCCGGCGAUGAUACAUACAAGUUUCUGCCCUAUCAACUUUCGAUGGUAGGGUAUUGGCCUACCAUGGUUGUAACGGGUGACAGGGAAUUAGGGUUCGAUUCUGGAGAGGCAGCAUGAGAAACGGCUACCACUUCCAAGGAAGGCAGCAGGCGCGCAACUUACCCAAUCCCGACACGGGGAGGUAGUGACAAGAAAUACCAGUAUAGGACCCUAUCGGGUACUAUAAUUGGAAUGAGUACAAUUCAAAAACCUUAACGAGUAACAAUUGGAGGGCAAGUCUGGUGCCAGCAGCCGCGGUAAUUCCAGCUCCAAUAGCGUAUAUUAAAGUUGUUGCAGUUAAAAAGCUCGUAGUUGGAUUUCGGAGUACUUGAGUGAUAUGGUCCGGCGAAAUGCUGUGUUUACCGUUCCUCAGUCUCCUCCUUUCAUAAGAACGCCCCCAUAAUACAUCCUUAACUGGACUCUUGGGGUGUCGGUCUAUGGAUCGUUUACUUUGAGAAAAUUAGAGUGUUUAAAGCAGGCAUAACAACUAGCCUUUGAAUACUACAGCAUGGGAUAAUGAAAUAGGAAUGCGGUCCUAUUUUGUUGGUUUCUAGCGUCCGCAUUAAUGAUUAAAAGGGAUAGUUGGGGGUAUUAGUAUAUAGUUGUCAGAGGUGAAAUUCUAAGAUUUACUAAAGACUGACUACUGUGAAAGCAUUUACCAAGGAUGUUUUCAUUAAUCAAGAACGAAAGUUGGGGGAUCGAAGACGAUCAGAUACCGUCGUAGUCCUAACCUUAAACUAUGCCGACCAGGGAUUCGGAGACGUUGGAUGAAUGACUCUCCGGGCACCUUGUGAGAAAUCACAAGUAUUUGGGUUCCGGGGGGAGUAUGGUCGCAAGGCUGAAACUUAAAGGAAUUGACGGAAGGGCACCACCAGGCGUGGAACCUGCGGCUUAAUUUGACUCAACACGGGAAAACUCACCAGGUCCAGACAC